UUGUGCUGCUUCUAACAGUCUUUUUAUUAAGACAAUACAAUGACAAUUUGACCUCAAAUCAGGUAGGACUACCCGCUGAACUUAAGCAUAUCAAUAAGCGGAGG
rnacentral:rRNA from 1 species